CACGCUCACGGCGGCAGGAGGUUUGGGGGCCGGGGCCCGAGGCGGCGGCUCGGGCCGGCCCAGGGUUGCCGGUGCAGUGCGGAGCCCUCUCGUGUCUCUUCCCGGCGUGCGGGCGCUUGCAGCGAGCCUCAGCGCCUCUCUCCGUGUUAGCCGGAGCGGGCUGGAACAAUGCUCAGCUUUCUCCAUCGGAGUAAUACGAUUCAUUUAGCGGAAUCACUUACGAUUUACACCAGGUCACCUUGGGGUUCAGAUGCCUUGCAGCAAAAGAAUCAAGAGGGCAGAGUGUUAUUGGCAUGUGUCCUGUUCUGAUCUUACUGAGAAGGAAAGAACAUGUUUUGGAAUCAUAUGGCAAUGCUCUGGCAGAAAUACAGAUGUGGUGGUUCAUAACAUCUACUAAGUCCUGAUGUGAAUAAUUCUCUCUAGUGGCAAAUGACAUGGUGAAUCUAUUUAAUUUCAACUCACAGAGCUAGGUAUUCCUGAAAUGAGGCUUCCUAGCUGUUCAUCAGGAGGAUUCUUUGCCUCUAAGGGUUGCACUGGACGUUCAACCUCAGUCGUGUUCAGAUCACCUUUGCCAUCGUAAUUGUCAGUGAUGGAACCUUUUGUAAUGUCAGCAGCAAGCACAGCUGUAAUAAGACAGUAUGGAGACAAGGAAACAAAGUAUUAAGAGCUUAGAUGUGACUGAUGAUGAAAACAAAUGGUAACAGCAAACCAGAUAACCUGACAUAAGUUUAUUCUAGAACUCCACCAUCAAAAAAACAGAUAAAUCAGAUGAGUCAGCUGCUGAAAUGCAGGAAAGCUUUGACACAAAUACAGAAAAAAAUACUAUGCUCAAAUUCACUAAACUUAAGUCAUCUGAAAGACAUACUUAAUAUGCACAGUGGUCUUUUAUUGAGCUACGGCUAGGCAGUGUGGUUACUUGCACGAAGAUGCUACGCUGCAUGCUGGGACCUGUGGUCUGUCUGAUUCCUGCUUCUCCUUGAAAACUUCCCUCUGAAAACUACAUUGUAUAUGUAUGUUGGCUUCAGUUAGCUCAGCUGUCAACUUUGUACACUGCAAAAUGCAUGUACUAAGUAUACAUGGAAGUAAAGGGGAAAACUGAUUGUUGGGGAUGUUAAAAAAUAUUAAUUCUUGCCUAAAUUUAAGAGAAUUUCUCAAAAGAAUUUAGGGAUUGUAAACUGUACAUGGAUAUAUGUUGUGAGGUAAACAGCUAUUGCUCCGGGUCUCUUGGCUCUUUGGUACUCUUACAAAAAAGCUUGAGAUUUACAUUAAACAAUGCAAUGAGCUAUAGCCCUCUAUAAUAGCUAUAAAAUUGGUUCAGUUUUGUCCUUCUGCUUCCUUGGGGAUGCCUUUCCAUUUGCUUCAACAAGGGAAGUAUGAGCAGGUGUGUUCAGUCUCAGAACAGAGAGUAGCAGAACAGUGAAGAAUGAUUUGUAUUAUAUUUUGGGUGGAAAAGGAAGCACUCAGAGGCAAUAGCUACUUCACUUGUUUCUAAUCAAUGUGCAUUUCAAAAGUAAAGAAAUGUUUCUAUAAUUAAAAAAACACCUAAGGAGAAGUUAAUGAUUUUUCUGAUAUAUUUUGAAAAAGGGCAUAACUUUGUGUAUCUGAAUAUCCUUCUGUUAUUAGUCACACUAGCUACAAAAACACACAUUGGAGAUGCAGACACAGAAUCAGCUUUGGAAUGACUCAAUGUUACCAUCUAAGAGUAGAGAAAAAACAUUUUUGUACAGACAUUUGCAAUGUGACGGAGGGAUAUUCUGUAAAACUGGCAAAGGCAACAGUGAGUCUUUUUACAUCAGAUUUUGUUUUCUUUUGGUCAUCGAUACGAGGAAAAGUUAAUAUCUGCGUAGUUCAUAUCUGUAUUUUUUGCUUUUUGGAUUUAUUUGGGAACACUAACAAACAAAACACAAAACACUUCAAAUAGUGAUUUUCUUCUCUUGUAGACCCACUGUUAUUUUUAGUGUAUACAACUGAAAAAAGCAGAAGCAGAGGGAGUGUGAACAGGCCACAUCCUGUGCCCCUGAAGGAUCUCAGUAGUGCAUAAAGUCACUGUCAGCCCCCUACUAAAGCGGCUGCUGAGGACUACCCUAACAGCAAACACUGAGCAGGUUUAAAAUUGUUCCUGGCCUUUUCCUGCACUAGUUAGGAACUCCGUGCCAAACAUGAGCUUAGCAGCUAAGGAUUGCAUCCUCUAACAAAAAUAUAUCUCAGGCAUGGAGGUGAAAUUCAGGUAUAUGUGAAGGACUUGCACAUGGACCUUCUUCCUCUUACACUAUGUGCUGCUCGCACAGCAGUCACCCCAAACAAAAGUAAUACUGUAGGUGUUUCAGAGGUGGUUCCCCAAGUAGUUGUUAGUGGAGGAUAUAUUUUGGAGCAAAAUACUCAAGAACUUACGCAACAUUAUUGGCAAAUUGUGUAGCUGGCAUCUGGAAAAUACCUUUUUGUAUGCUAAGGUGUUCCAUUCUAAUCAAAAUGAAACUAACCUACAGUGAAAAAUAGCAAAGAGAGACCAAUUUGCACAUACCCUGAUCAAUAGAACAUGGUAAUAGUCUGGUUAGUGUAUUUAAAGAUCCAGUCUUGAAAUGAGUGGCAAAAUGCUCAUUAUAGCUAAUAGAAGAAGAAUUGGACCAUUUUUUUUCCCCAUCUGUUAAA